UUUAUGGUGUGGAAAUAGAUGCCAAUAGUAGAAUCAGUCACAAUGCAUAGAAUUUUAGCCUGCUUUUAACAUUUAUAUGAUAGUGGUUAAGUUUAUUUUUUUCUUUCUACAGUUUAUAGGCAACUUAGCUUCCAGUAAUUCUGGCAUCUUACAAUUAUAACGUUCAAAAAAAAAAGACAAAAGACAUAAAAGAGAUCAUGAACAGCCUGAAGGCAAACAUAUGAACCAAAACAAACCCAUCCGCAAUGAAGCUUGUGGAAGUUCUAUCUCUCCCAUACACUAUGGCUUAGAGGAAGAUACUGGGUGAAAGGUUCUCCUGGAAAACAGAUGGUAGCAGCAGAUGGGAGAAUGAUGUCAUCAGUAUGGUCAAGAAAUCCAUCAUAAGUGUUCUCUAAACUGCCUUAGGAUUGACUUGGGAAAACUGAAUUCAGAUUAUUCAACAAAGCCCCAAAUUGAUUGCAUAUCAAAUAAAAAAUAAUAUGAGAUAAUGAUGACUCAAGCAAGG
rnacentral:lncRNA from 1 species